rnacentral:rRNA from 1 species
UGAGAGCGGCGGACGGGUGAGUAAUGCCUAGGAAUCUGCCUGGUAGUGGGGGAUAACGCUCGGAAACGGACGCUAAUACCGCAUACGUCCUACGGGAGAAAGCAGGGGACCUUCGGGCCUUGCGCUAUCAGAUGAGCCUAGGUCGGAUUAGCUAGUUGGUGAGGUAAUGGCUCACCAAGGCGACGAUCCGUAACUGGUCUGAGAGGAUGAUCAGUCACACUGGAACUGAGACACGGUCCAGACUAAUACGGGAGGCAGCAGUGGGGAAUAUUGGACAAUGGGCGAAAGCCUGAUCCAGCCAUGCCGCGAGUGUGAAGAAGGUCUUCGGAUUGUAAAGCACUUUAAGUUGGGAGGAAGGGCAGUAACCUAAUACGUUAUUGUUUUGACGUUACCGACAGAAUAAGCACCGGCUAACUCUGUGCCAGCAGCCGCGGUAAUACAGAGGGUGCAAGCGUUAAUCGGAAUUACUGGGCGUAAAGCGCGCGUAGGUGGUUUGUUAAGUUGAAUGUGAAAUCCCCGGGCUCAACCUGGGAACUGCAUCCAAAACUGGCAAGCUAGAGUAGGGCAGAGGGUGGUGGAAUUUCCUGUGUAGCGGUGAAAUGCGUAGAUAUAGGAAGGAACACCAGUGGCGAAGGCGACCACCUGGGCUCAUACUGACACUGAGGUGCGAAAGCGUGGGGAGCCAACAGGAUUAGAUACCCUGGUAGUCCACGCCGUNAACGAUGUCAACUAGCCGUUGGAAUCCUUGAGAUNUUAGUGGCGCAGCUAACGCAUUAAGUUGACCGCCUGGGGAGUACGGC